rnacentral:lncRNA from 1 species
UUUGAGUUCAGUAAGUUUCUGGGGUUGGAGCUCGGUCUCGACAGGUGCUUACGGAUUCGCUGGAGUUGGGUCUUGAUCACGAUAUUUUCUUUUCGACGUUGUCCUUCAUGUCCCUGUCGUCAUGGGCAUUCGUCUGAAUCGUAUUUAGUGGUAUUGGAUUGAUCUUCUCUUGGGUUUUUGUUGUUGGGCUUAGGGAAUUUGAAUAUUUUUGGUUGUUAUUAUUGGGCCAUUAUUAUGUUGACUAUUGGACUGAAUUAUUUGGGUUAUUUAAUUAGAAAUUUG